GUUUUCUACUCCCACCCCCCAAUGUUGUUUUUUUUUUAAUUAAAACAUAUUUUUAUUUUAAAAAAAAUUUGAUUGAAGGUUUUAAAAAAGAAAAAAAAAAAGGUUUCUUCAUUCUCUGCUAGGGCUUCAUUUGCAUGCCCCAAUGGUUGCCGCAGCACCAACGCCACUUUCGGUGGCCAAUGACGCCGAGAAAUGAGUCUUUCAACCCCGAUCCAAGGCUGUAUUCUGAUCGUGAAGACGUGAAGCGGAGCGCACAGACGUGGGGCGUGCAAUAAGCGAGCUGGGGGCCGUGCUUGAUGUGCCGACGUGCGUAGUGGCUGUGGCGCAAGGCAAAUAGAACUCUAGGGCUUGCUGUUUCUGAAAACGAUUUGGGCCAUUGGGCUUGUGUAACCAAGUAUUGGGCCAUUGCAAAGUUUUUGGCCUGGUGUAAUUAGAUUUGGACUGUUGUUUUGUUUUAUUUUUCUGUAUAUGUAUGGGCCCGGGCUAAAAAUUGAGUCUACAGGGGUCAUUUGUAUUUUAAGUUUACGUUUUCAGGUUAGGUCAUUAUAAGUUUUAGUUAUUAUGUGUUUGAAGUGUUCCAAAUUCUAGUCUGUUAAAAUACGUCUGUCUCUGUACUCAGACAAAAUUUGAAAUUUAAUCUUUGUACUUAAAAAUAUCAAAA